ACUGACCUCUAAAGACUCAUGUUGUCUGAGGAUGAAGCCCAGAACAGGAGGAAGAGGACAGAAAAGAAAUCAGAAAUGGCUAUUUCUCAGAUCUCUCUCCUAUGCAUGUGGUUAAGCACUUACAACCGAAAGCAAACAGUGACAUAGAGGAAGUAUUCCAAACAGUGAUGUUGGGAAGUCCUGAAAGUCGUGAGAGCAAACACUUCACCUCAGGGAAAUCCAGGAAAACACGUAUGACUUUGAGUGUUGGUGGAGAGGUGACGUAAGAUGUCACGAAGGAAUGGGUGUAGCCCAUAAGGGAGAUCUCACAGGUGGAAGAGGUUGACCUGACAGAAGGGAUAUGGGAAUCAAGCCCACUGGAAAUAGGCUUGGGUUAAACGUUCAGGCUGAGCUGCACAUACUUCUUACUGAAGGGCUGAUUUCUGAAUGUGAUGAAGCUGAGAAGUCUGUCAGCAGUAGUUUCUCGUUUUCACCAUUUCAAAGACUUCCUCCUAGUGUCCAAACUGAUGCGUCUAAUAUACAUGGGAGUGAUUUUAUGCAUCCUUCUGUGAUGACGCAGCGCCAGAAAGCACACAGGGAAAGACCUCACAGACGUGAUGAGUGUGGGAAAAGCUUUCUCAGGGUCUCACACCUCACCAGACAUCAGAUCAUCCAUACUGGAGAGAAAUUAUAUCAGUGUGAUGUAUGUGACAAAUUCUUCAGUCGAAAUUCACAGCUUGUGCGUCAUCAGAAAAUUCACGGUGGAAAGAAAGGUUAUAAAUGUAAUGAGUAUGACAAAGCCUUUAGUGAUGACUCCACCCUCACCAGACGUCAGAUCAUCCACCCAGGAGCGAAAUUACAUAAAUGUGAUGUGUGUGCCAAAGUCUUUAGUCGAAAUUCAUACCUUGCAAAUCAUUGGAGAGUUCAUACUGGAGAGAAACCUUUCCAGUGUAAUGAGUGUGGCAAAACCUUUAAUCGCUGCUCAAACCUUUCUAGACAUCAGACAGUUCAUACAGGAAAGAAAUUAUAUAAAUGUGAUGUAUGUGCCAGUGUCUUUAGUCGAAAGUCAAACCUUGCAGUUCAUCUGAGAAUUCAUACUGGAGAGAAACGUUAUAAGUGUAACGAGUGUGGCAAGCUGUUUAAUUACAGUUCACACCUUACAACCCAUCGGAGAAUUCACACUGGAGAGAAACCUUACAGAUGUAAUGACUGUGGAAAGGUCUUUGGUCAAAAAUCACAUCUUCGACUCCAUUGGAGAAUUCAUACCGGAGAGAAACCUUUCAAAUGCAACGAGUGUGGCAAGGUCUUCAGUCGAAAUUCACACCUCACAAGUCAUCAGAGAGUGCAUGUGGUAGAGAAUCCUUUCAAAUGCUUUGAGUGCGGAAAAGCCUUUGCUCAGGUCUCAGCCCUCACUAAACAUCAGAAAAUCCAUACGUGAGGGGAAACUGGGCAAGUGUGACCACGUGGGAAGGUCUUCGCAACCCAAACUUCAAAAGAAACCCUACAGAUACUAAGAGUGUGGCAAAGCUCUUGUGCGUUCAGCCUCACUUACCAUCAGAUAACUUCAUACUGGAGAGGAACCUUACAAAGGUAAUGACUGUCUCAGAGUGUUGAGUCAAAAUUCAUACUUUAUGAUCCACCAAAGAAUUCAUCCUGGAGAGAAACCUUAGAGAUCUAACGAGUGUGUCCCAUCCUUCAGUGCACUUUCAAGCCUAAUUUACCAUCAAUCCUUCUCCUGGAAACUGGAGAGAGAGCUGCUAUCUUGAGAGACAAGUUUAACCGGAAGAACCAGAGUGGCAUGUGUACGGUUAGGAUUCACGUUUAACUGCUGCUGUCGCCUUUUGCUGCUGUUGUAUUGGAAUGUAUCACAGGUCUUCUGUUUUAAUACAUAAAAUUUAAUCAUUUUUGUCA